UCAGGGCUGAUGCAGACAGAGCUCACCGGCGCUUCGUGCUCUGGGGGAGGACACAGCAGUCAGCACAGCCCCGCUAAAGGAGCAUGGCACCUGGGGCACAGCUGCAGAGCCAGAUGCAUACUUGGGGAGCAGUCCCUGGGCUCUGCUGUUACGGUGACUGUUUCAAAAAGAGUGAAGAACAGCUUGACUUCUCCCCUAAUUUUUCAUGCAUGGAUGAGCUGUGGCUACAAGGGCACAGAAAUCAAGAUGCACUGCCUGUUCUCCCCCAGGCCCUCCUGCCUCAUCCCUCGGAGUUACAAGAAUGAGCAGGAAUAAAUAGUCGCUCAAGUAAAAUA